rnacentral:rRNA from 1 species
CAUUAUCGAAAUCCUUAGGAUGUUGCUGGCCCUCUAUUGGGGCAUGUGCACUCCGCCUUUUCUAUUCACCUGUGAACUUAUUGUAGGCCGGACCGUAAAAAAGUCUGUGUCUAUGUUUUUACACACACCCCAAAAAAGUUUAACGGAAUGUCUUUAAAUAGAGUAGGCCCUUUGUUGGCUGAAAUAUAUUAUAAUACAACUUUCAACAAUGGAUCUCUUGGUUCUCGCAUCGAUGAAGAACGCAGCGAAUUGCGAUAUGUAAUGUGAAUUGCAGAAUUCAGUGAAUCAUCGAAUCUUUGAACGCACCUUGCGCCCUUUGGUAUUCCGAAGGGCAUGCCUGUUUGAGUGUCAUUAAAUUCUCAACUUCAAAUCCUUUGCUGGAUUAUUGAAGCUUGGACUAUGGAGGUUAUUUUGCCGGCAGUACAAAUGUCAGCUCCUCUUAAAUGCAUUAGCAGAACUUUUCAUAAAGGGACCGGCUUUGGUUUGAUAAUUGUAUAUCUAUGCCGUCGCUGUGGACUUUGCUGUUCAGCUUACAACUGUCUUCGGACUGUCUCUUCAGAGGCAUAAUUUUAUUUAAGCUUGACCUCAAAUCAGGUAGGACUACCC